UACGUAGGGCGCAAGCGUUGUCCGGAAUUAUUGGGCGUAAAGCGCGUGUAGGCGGCCCGCUAAGUCUGAUGUGAAAGCCCGGGGCUCACCCCCGGAAGUGCAUUGGAGACUGGCGGGCUCGAGUCCCGGAGAGGAGGGUGGAAUUCCUGGUGUAGCGGUGAAAUGCGUAGAUAUCAGGAGGAACACCGGUGGCGAAGGCGGCCCUCUGGACGGUGACUGACGCUGAGACGCGAAAGCGUGGGGAGCAAACAGG
rnacentral:rRNA from 1 species